UUUUAUUUAUUGAGUUUCGCAACUAACAUUAAGUAGGCCUAUGUCAGAAUUUAAUCCUGCAUAAUAAUAGUCAGACUUGUUGGACUAGUAGAAAUUUAAAACUAGUAUAUGGAAAGAUUUGGUAGCACGUUCCACAGCAGGAAGAAGUGACAACCAUCUUGUUUUAACAUGCCGCAAGACAGGAGCAAAUUCAGCUUCGCGCAUCUCAUAGAAGUCUUUUAACGCGGCAACUCGUUUUGCAUAGUAUGAAAAAUGGUUAUGCAGCUUCAGGAUGAAAUUUUCUAAAUCAAACUUACUCUUACCCAGGCUAUACUUUACACUGUUGUGCAAGAUGUGUGCAGGACAACCGACUGAUAAAAUGUUGUCAUUAUCGUGAUGCAAUAACUGAAAAACUGAAUUACGACACCCAAAGUUCACAUUUGCAUUAUCUGCACAGUAACUGGUAAGAUGUUUAGUGUCAAUAUUGUGCUCUCUCAGUCGUGUUACUAAAUUCUUAUGAAUGGCUGAUGCAGUUUCAUUUGCGUCUUCAUAAAAGUCAAGCACACACGUUUUUAAAUUUGUAUUUGGGCUGUAAAACCUCACCAUCAGCGGAAACAUUUUUGUGGCACCGUGAUUGGAGGCGUCAGUAGCAACACUAUAAAAUGUAUCAUUUUGCAAAGUUUCGACAGCCUCUUGAGUCGAUGCUGGACCUAAAACGUUAUGUGCAAUGGCACUGGCCUUAGUUCGUCCAAGUGUCAGUUUUUCAGCAAUUUUUGAAUCACCAUACAAAGUAUGAUCGAGUUUUGUAUCACAUUCAAGUGAAUUGAAUGAUAAGCUAUGCUUGACCGAAUGGUACGUCUUUGUGACUUCAGCAGCUAUCACUUUUUCUUCUUGAGUGCUCAUUUGUUCAGUUUUUAAAAAUAUUUUCAGCGAUGUAGAUAGACUAGCACUUCUUUCUCUUUUUUGGUGUUCAUUACAUUUUUGAUGUUUUUCUAUAUCAUUCUUGCCACCAUGAGAUAUGCUAAACUGUUUUUGGCACAAUGUGCAAAGUGCUCUUAACUUAUUAUUUGGAACGGAUUUGAUGAACGAGUAACUUUUCAUCCAAACAUCGAGAAAAUAACACAUUCUUUUUUGUUUCUUCUUUUUCGGAGUCGAAGUCGAAGCAUCGGUUUUUACCUCGGAUUCGGAAACAGUUUCUGGAUCACUCAUUUCAAAAGAAAUCUGAAAAUAAAAGAAAUCCAAUGGCAGCAACCAACACCACAUACGUGAAUAAAUACAUACAUACAAACAGAUAUACGCUGGAUUAUGUUAAUAAAUCAUGAAAUCAAUACAUAAAAUUUCGUUAAAAAACAUCAAAAGCAUUUAUUUACCUCUCCCGGCACUUUGCACAAACCCUCAUGUCAAAAAUUUUCUAUCAUAUUUAUCAUGAAACCAAUAAAAACCAACUGCCUAACAUAACCUAAAAUUCGCCAACACGAAUUAGAAUCUUAGAAAGAACUAAAUAUGAGAAAAUUGUUAAAAGUAUUUGCGUAAACAUUUAAAUAAUGUUUAAUUAAACAAUUUGAAUGCUUACCUGCAAAGAAUCUCCUAAAUGUGCUGAUAAAAUUGCAAAACACAUACGAACGAACGAAGACCGAUUGAUUGAGUGAAGCCAAAGUGAAGUAUGUACCUACCUCCUACACAUUGUGAAGCGGUAUUUUACUUUGUGGUAGCGUCUCUGAGCAAGAGAGAAAACAAAACUAAGCUAUACUUAUAGCGCUAGUAAUGACUAAUGGGAUGCGUGCUAUUUUAAACGCAUUGUCGCACUCGAUAUAGUGAUGUGAUGCGUAAUUUUCAUUAUUCUAGUAAUAACGGGUUUUUAAUAAAUUAAUAAUUUAGCGUCCCGAUCAGGUGCAAAUCGGGACGCGUCCUCAGACCCUGAAAAUCGGGACGUCCCGCGCAAAUCGGGACACCUGGCAACUCUACUUGUAGCGUACAUUACGAGUAUGUUCACAUGCGAAAACAGUGGUGAUAUCACUUCGUAAGAGUUUUAAACUGCGUAUUGAUUACAACUGCGUUGAUUGCGAAGCAUUUAAGCCCAAAGGAGUUCUGAGCUUGACUAAAAUCCAUUACCAUGAACACUCGUCUCCGAAAAACGUCUUCCCCCCUCCAGUUUGACGCAUCAGGAAAAAGCGUCAUUUGAAAAUCGUAAUGACUCCAUUUCUUUUGUAAGGCUAAGACUUUGUCUGUAUAGAUGUGGAUGUAGAGCCAAGGCAUGAAAUGGCUACAGACGUAGACAUUAACGUGCACAAAAUGUGAUCCGCUUGCAAUAAUUGCAAAACAGUGACAUUGUAUAUCUGAGGUACGUCUACUGAUAAGUUUGAUUUUAUCAGAAAGAAGAGCAAGCGAAGCCCUAAAUCCUAGUAUCUGCACUGCAGACUAAGAGCAAACUCUUCUCCAUAAUUAUGACAAUGCCAAAUUUGAGAGAUAACAUAUUUGCGGGGCAAGGUGUGUAAGUAAGAAUCACCUAUUGAAAAAAUUCGUCAAGGUAAAUAACCGAGAGGUGACCUUGGGCUCUUAAAAUGAGACUACCGUUUCCAUCGGGUAAGAUGCCAAACUCACACCAAAGGUAGGAGCACGUAUAUUCGUUCGACUAUUAAACUAUCGAAGACGCUUCUUUCACGUCUAAGGUAGUUAGGUGCCAAUGUGUUGACGUAAGGUUAGAACUGUGAAUCGGUUUUGCGACUUAAAAUGUUCUAGAGCGAUAUAUUUAUUAAGGCCCCUUAGGUUUAAUAUAAACCUUAAAGUGCAAUCACAAUUUUUGAGGUUCGAACAUAAGUGAGAAGGAGUCGUUUGGGGUGAAAGACCAUUCUUCAAUAGCUCCGCUCCGAGUUCCAUGAUGCCAUGAGGCGAUCGAAAGAUUUGUGAGAUACCGGUUGGGUAUCUGGGGCUUUACCCGAGUAGGUAAGAUGAAAUAGUGGAAACGUAAGUGAUUUCCUUCUAUAUCUUCUCAAAAUGAGAAGCCUUCGCGCAUGCCGAAGAACAAUUUUGAUGUGUUGGGUCUCAGAGAAUCUAACCUUAGGGUUUGAAACCCCUUAUAGCUGUGCAAAGAGGGCCGUUGGUUGGUAUAAUGAAGCUGGUGAUGUAAAAGAUGUCGACAAAGUUGUGCGCCGCCCGCCCGCUGCAUUGGAGCUUCUUAACUGGGUGUUUGAAAUGUGACGAUUCUUUUGAGAUGUUGUCUGUUGGAGUCGCUCGCUUAAGUCUGAACCAAGAGAUUCCUUCAAGACUUUCAAACUUUAAUCAGUAAACCGGAAAAGCGGUGUCAUGAAGAAGCCUCCCGGGAUCGCUAGAAGCUUCGCUGAAGGAAGUUUAUAAUUUAAUGUUAAUCUCAAUUAACUCAGUUAUUAACUAAUAAAUGCAGUAACUCAAUUAAUUAAUCAAUCAAUUAAUUAAUUAAUCAAUCGCUUGCAAACAAACUAUUGAAUGCGUUAGCGUUUGGUCCGUUUGUAACUUUGAAACAAAUGUCAAUUUUCAAAAUUAAUUUUCUCUUGAGUUAGUGAAUUUUCUCGGCCUAAAAUUUGCCACUGAGAUUCAGUAUAACACAGUAUACACAAACUCUUGUCUUCCAAGGCGCAAAUAUGCUGCUGUCAAAUUCUAUUAACAACUGAAAUGGGAUAUGACGCUUUCAUCUGUUGAACAGAAUAGGUCAGAAAAGUCAUAGUUUCUGAAAGUGAUUAGGUGUUGAACUACCUCCAGGUUUAAACCCUUCCAGUCCACCUCCCCGCAACACUGCCAGCCAAGAUUGUUCCUGGUGUUGUGGAGUUUCGAAAGGAUAACCUUUUAGAAUCAAGGGCCGCUCCACUGAACGGGGCAAUGGAUAAAGGGUCGCCCUCUUCCAACAAUGAAAGCUGUGCGUCCAUGUCAUACAGGACAUCAACUAGAGCUCAAAAGUCCACAGAGUGGACGGCAGGUUUGGGAUGUGAUCUACAGAGCAAUCACAUUAUCCGGUUUCCGACAAGUUGUGACAAGGGCAAUUAUCGUGAUGGUUUUGAAGUUGGACAGGUCAGGUCAGGCCACGAUUUGAGGUUAUGUUUUUCGCAUAGAACCGUUUUCCCCUUGUUUGGCCGCAUAAAAUCAAUAGCCGCUCAAUUUGUCAUAUAGGACAAGAGGCGUGUUGAGUUUUAGGUUAGGAGGGUCACAAAAUACAGUUUUCCCAUAGGUUGGGCCUUACAACCUCGAUAUUUUAUUAUUUUAACGGAAAACCCCUGUUUCACAAAAUAUCCGUUAGGAUUGUAACACGGCACAAGAGACGUGUUAAUGUGGAGGUUAUGUUGGCCACAUAGGGCCGUUUUCCCAUUGGCUUGGCCGCAUUGGCCGAUAUUCGCCACGAUUGUCACAUAGAAUAAGAGGCAUGUUGAUGUUGAACACUGGUUGCCCGGUUGUGGUCACAGAGUACUGUUUAAAGAUUGGGCUAGCCGCAUAGGGCCGAUAUCCGACAGGAUAUCGACCGGACAAGACGUGUGUUGAUCCAUGUCGAUGUCGAUAGCAUUGGUGUGGCCGCAUAGGACCCGAUAUCUGCCCGUUCCGGUCACAUAGUACCGUUUAACGGUUGGGCUGGCCGCAUAGGGCCAAUAUCCCGCAGGAUUUGGACAGGACAAGACGUGUGUUGAUCCAUGUCGAUGUCGACAGUAUUGACGUGGCCGCAUAAGACCAGAUAUCUGCCCGUUUCGGUCACAUAGUACCGUUUAACCCCUGGGCUGGCCGCAUAGGACCGAUAUCUGCCAGAAAAGUCACAUAGGACAGGCUGUAUGUUCAAGUUGGGGAUCUUACUCGCCAAAUAUGAAUUUUACAAUUGGUCGGGCCGCAUAGGACCCACGUUCGUCAGGUUUGCCAAAUAAAACACGGGACAUGAUGUUUUGAGGUUACGUUCAGGGUGGUGAAACCUAAAUGCACCAAGCCAAGUAUAGGCGCCAAAUUCAAAAUCGACUGUAGUUCGGCUUGCCAUCGCAGAUGUCGCACACACGUAUAGUCAAUUUUAGCGAAGCUACCUAUAAUAUCGGCAGAAAUUAACGGUGGACCUGUGACAGUUGCCAUUGUGCCAAUCGCCAUUUUGUGCUUGGUUUGUUUGGUGUUCGCCUUCGGCUUUGUUUUAUGUGAAAUUAGUACUGUUUUGUGGUUUUUUUCGUGUGUGUGCUUUUUUGAACUUUUUUAUUGUGGGAAUAUAAAUAAUUUAAUGGAUCAAUCACAUUAGUUUAUAGUUAUCGUGUCGGGUAUAUUGACUAGUGAUAAUAAAUUUUUAUUACAAGUUUAUUGUCUUUAUUUGUUCUCAUAUUUUAUUUUUCGUAUUCUUUGUAAAUAUUCAGCAACAAUAGUUGUCUAACAUCAGAAAGUGUUAUUAGCAACUAUUGUUGUGAAUAUUUACAAACAAUACGAAAAAUGCAAUCAAACUUUAAAAGAAAAGUAACUACGGGCAAUUCAAAUCGCCCGCGAUAACACUUAGUACGCGCUGGCCACAAUAGAUGUGCUAGUGACACUUUCGCUCUAUCGGGACAAGGACAGAUGCGUUUCUGUAAAACCUGUUAUUCUGUGGUUACGUUUCGCGUGCGUGUGUCGUUUUCUCCAUUUCCUCUCCAAUUUCCAUCUGUAACAAAGAGGGGCUCCUAUGGGGCCGUUUGAGCGAUGAAUACCGCAUCACGAAUCAAUUUUGGGGUUGUUUUUCCCUCAAAAGGAACGAAGCGUGUAGCACUUUUGCACAAAGAAAAAACAAUUGUGGGGCACCGUCGAUAAGUCAGUUUUCUUUCUGUACUUUAAAAUUUUGUGGCACUUUGGCAGAGAAUAGACUACUACACUAUUUGAUCAUGAAGGGCGAAGGGCGAAUAUAAUCAUUACAAAUACCAUUAUGAGCUUCAAUUCUAACUGUUAGUUAUUAUGGUGAGGAAGAUGACAUUGAACAAUCCUUUCCAUAAAUGCUUGGCCCAUCGGCUUUCAAACCAUCUAUUCAAGGCCCAUCAUGCAGAAUGGAUGAAGGAUUUAGAUCGCCGAUGGGAAGAAAGGGCUGUAGAACGGGAAGAAGAAAAACGGGAAAAAAAAUUCUUAACAAACCAAAACUUGUGUUCGCAGAAGUUAAAAAACGAGAUGACGACGAAAACUGGGAUGAUGAAGAUUAUCGUCACACGACAAAAUAUAGUUAUAUUAAUAAUAGUUUUAAAAAAUAAAAAUGUUUAUUAAUA